rnacentral:rRNA from 1 species
UGGGGAAUAUUGCACAAUGGGCGCAAGCCUGAUGCAGCGACGCCGCGUGAGGGAUGGAGGCCUUCGGGUUGUAAACCUCUUUCGCCAGUGAAGCAGGCCAUCUUCUUUGUGGGGUGGUUGACGGUAGCUGGAUAAGAAGCGCCGGCUAACUACGUGCCAGCAGCCGCGGUAAUACGUAGGGCGCGAGCGUUGUCCGGAAUUAUUGGGCGUAAAGAGCUCGUGGGCGGCUGGUCGCGUCUGUCGUGAAAUCCCCUGGCUUAACUGGGGGCUUGCGGUGGGUACGGGCCGGCUUGAGUGCGGUAGGGGAGACUGGAAUUCCUGGUGUAGCGGUGGAAUGCGCAGAUAUCAGGAGGAACACCGGUGGCGAAGGCGGGUCUCUGGGCCGUUACUGACGCUGAGGAGCGAAAGCGUGGGGAGCGAACAGG